AGGAGUUACAGAUCAAGUUAGUAGUAGAGCAAUGCAGAUUACAACGACAUGGUUUUGUUAAUUGGAUGUUAGAAUGAUGCAUGAUUGGAUAGAACAACAUGUUCUUUCGGGUGGGAGUUUGUUACACUUGGCUGAAAAACAAUACCAAUUGAAAUAGAGAUGUAGCACUGAAAGACUGAAUUCUCACUGCCUAAAUUACUGCUGGUGUAAACACACACUGCAUGGAAGGAAUUUUCGCAGGUUACACAUUUUACCCAGUUUACGAAUCCUGUUAAUGUUGCCGUAUUUUGACAUGCCCAACAUGUACCUUCAAUACUUUCUGCAAUGAAGAAUCGUUAAUCAAUUAUGGACUUGGGAUGAGGUCAAU